UGGGGAAUUUUGGACAAUGGGCGAAAGCCUGAUCCAGCAAUGCCGCGUGUGUGAAGAAGGCCUUCGGGUUGUAAAGCACUUUUGUCCGGAAAGAAAUCCUUGGCUCUAAUACAGUCGGGGGAUGACGGUACCGGAAGAAUAAGCACCGGCUAACUACGUGCCAGCAGCCGCGGUAAUACGUAGGGUGCAAGCGUUAAUCGGAAUUACUGGGCGUAAAGCGUGCGCAGGCGGUUUGCUAAGACCGAUGUGAAAUCCCCGGGCUCAACCUGGGAACUGCAUUGGUGACUGGGCAGGCUAGAGUAUGGCAGGAGGGGGGUAGAAUUCCACGUGUAGCAGUGAAAUGCGUAGAGAUGUGGAGGAAUACCGAUGGCGAAGGCAGCCCCCUGGGCCAAUACUGACGCUCAUGCACGAAAGCGUGGGGAGCAAACAGGAUUAGAUACCCUGGUAGUCCACGCCCUAAACGAUGUCAACUAGUUGUUGGGGAUUCAUUCCUUAGUAACGUAGCUAACGCGUGAAGUUGACCGCCUGGGGAGUACGGUCGCAA
rnacentral:rRNA from 1 species